GCAGACACAUUCCAGCCAAUCAGCAGCAGACCCUCCCUCCCAGACCCUCCCACCUCCUGGACAGCUCACUAAGAAUGCAGCUUCACAAUGAAUGUAAAAUGGAUGCUGUCCAGGAGGUGGGAGGGUCUGGGAGGGAGGGUCUGCUGCUGAUUGGCUGGACUGUGUCU